rnacentral:rRNA from 1 species
ACAUGCAAGUCGAACGGCAGCAUGAUCUAGCUUGCUAGAUUGAUGGCGAGUGGCAAACGGGUGAGUAAUACAUCGGAACGUGCCCUGUAGUGGGGGAUAACUAGUCGAAAGAUUAGCUAAUACCGCAUACGACCUGAGGGUGAAAGUGGGGGACCGCAAGGCCUCAUGCUAUAGGAGCGGCCGAUGUCUGAUUAGCUAGUUGGUGAGGUAAAGGCUCACCAAGGCGACGAUCAGUAGCUGGUCUGAGAGGACGAUCAGCCACACUGGGACUGAGACACGGCCCAGACUCCUACGGGAGGCAGCAGUGGGGAAUUUUGGACAAUGGGGGCAACCCUGAUCCAGCAAUGCCGCGUGUGUGAAGAAGGCCUUCGGGUUGUAAAGCACUUUUGUCCGGAAAGAAAUCGCACUUACUAAUAUUAGGUGUGGAUGACGGUACCGGAAGAAUAAGGACCGGCUAACUACGUGCCAGCAGCCGCGGUAAUACGUAGGGUCCAAGCGUUAAUCGGAAUUACUGGGCGUAAAGCGUGCGCAGGCGGUUGUGCAAGACCGAUGUGAAAUCCCCGGGCUUAACCUGGGAAUUGCAUUGGUGACUGCACGGCUAGAGUGUGUCAGAGGGGGGUAGAAUUCCACGUGUAGCAGUGGAAUGCGUAGAGAUGUGGAGGAAUACCGAUGGCGAACGCAGCCCCCUGGGAUACACUGACGCUCAUGCACGAAAGCGUGGGNAGCAAACAGGAUUAGAUACCCUGGUAGUCACGCCCUAAACGAUGUCAACUAGUUGUUGGGGAUUCAUUUCCUUAGUAACGUAGCUAACGCGUGAAGUUGACCGCCUGGGGAGUACGGUCGCAAGAUUAAAACUCAAAGGAAUUGACGGGGACCCGCACAAGCGGUGGAUGAUGUGGAUUAAUUCGAUGCAACGCGAAAAACCUUACCUACCCUUGACAUGCCACUAACGAAGCAGAGAUGCAUUAGGUGCUCGAAAGAGAAAGUGGACACAGGUGCUGCAUGGCUGUCGUCAGCUCGUGUCGUGAGAUGUUGGGUUAAGUCCCGCAUCGAGCGCAACCCUUGUCUCUAGUUGCUACGAAAGGGCACUCUAGAGAGACUGCCGGUGACAAACCGGAGGAAGGUGGGGAUGACGUCAAGUCCUCAUGGCCCUUAUGGGUAGGGCUUCACACGUCAUACAAUGGUGCAUACAGAGGGUUGCCAAGCCGCGAGGUGGAGCUAAUCCCAGAAAAUGCAUCGUAGUCCGGAUCGUAGUCUGCAACUCGACUACGUGAAGCUGGAAUCGCUAGUAAUCGCGGAUCAGCAUGCCGCGGUGAAUACGUUCCCGGGUCUUGUACACACCGCUCGUCACACCAUGGGAGUGGGUUUUGCCAGAAGUAGUUAGCCUAACCGCAAGGGGGGCGAUUACCACGGCAGGGUUCAUGACUGGGGUGAAGUCGUAACAAGGU